rnacentral:rRNA from 1 species
UGGGGAAUUUUGGACAAUGGGCGAAAGCCUGAUCCAGCAAUGCCGCGUGUGUGAAGAAGGCCUUCGGGUUGUAAAGCCCUUUUGUCCGGAAAGAAAUACUCUGGGUUAAUACCUCGGGGGGAUGACGGUACCGGAAGAAUAAGCACCGGCUAAAUACGUGCCAGCAGCCGCGGUAAUACGGAGGGUGCAAGCGUUAAUCGGAAUUACUGGGCGUAAUGCUUCCGCAGGCGGUUUUGUAAGACGGAUGUGAACUCCCCGUGCUUAACCUGGGGACUGCACUCGUGACUGCGAGGCUAGAGGAUGUCAGGGGGGGGUAGAAUUCCACGUGUAGCAGUGAAAUGCGUAGAUAUGUGGAGGAAUACCGAUGGCGAAGGCAGCCACAUGUGCCAAUACUGAC